GAUGAAGAACGUAGCGAAAUGCGAUACUUGGUGUGAAUUGCAGAAUCCCGUGAACCAUCGAGUCUUUGAACGCAAGUUGCGCCCGAAGCCAUUAGGCCGAGGGCACGCCUGCCUGGGUGUCACACAUCGUUACCCCAACGCAAACCUGUAACAAUGUUGCUGCGCGGGGUGUAUGCUGACCUCCCGCGAGCACCCGCCUCGUGGUUGGUUGAAAUCUGGGUUCAUGGCCGACUUCGCCGUGAUAAAAUGGUGGAUGAGCCACGCUCGAGACCAAUCACGUGCGAGCCGGUCAGUUCUGGACCCAUCGACGACCCUUUGCGUGCACGCACGCUCCCAACGAGACCUCAGGUCAGGCGGGGCUACCCGCUGAGUUUAAGCAUAUCAAUAAGCGGAGGA
rnacentral:misc_RNA from 1 species